rnacentral:rRNA from 1 species
AUUGAACGCUGGCGGCAUGCCUUACACAUGCAAGUCGAACGGUAACGGGCCUUCGGGUGCCGACGAGUGGCGAACGGGUGAGUAAUGCAUCGGAACGUACCUUUCAGUGGGGGAUAACGUAGCGAAAGUUACGCUAAUACCGCAUAUUCUGUGAGCAGGAAAGCAGGGGAUCGCAAGACCUUGUGCUGAUUGAGCGGCCGAUGUCAGAUUAGCUAGUUGGUGAGGUAAAGGCUCACCAAGGCGACGAUCUGUAGCGGGUCUGAGAGGAUGAUCCGCCACACUGGAACUGAGACACGGUCCAGACUCCUACGGGAGGCAGCAGUGGGGAAUUUUGGACAAUGGGGGCAACCCUGAUCCAGCCAUGCCGCGUGAGUGAAGAAGGCCU